GAUGAACGCUGGCGGCGUGCUUAACACAUGCAAGUCGAACGGAAAGGCCGAAGCUUGCUUCGGUACUCGAGUGGCGAACGGGUGAGUAACACGUGGGUGAUCUGCCCUGUACUUCGGGAUAAGCUUGGGAAACUGGGUCUAAUACCGGAUAUGACGAUCUCUUGGAUGGGGUUGUGGAAAGCUUUUGCGGUAUGGGAUGAGCUCGCGGCCUAUCAGCUUGUUGGUGGGGUAAUGGCCUACCAAGGCGUCGACGGGUAGCCGGCCUGAGAGGGUGUACGGCCACAUUGGGACUGGGAUACGGCCCAGACUCCUACGGGGGGAAGUAGGGGGGAAUAUUGCAAAAUGGGGGCAAGCCUGAUGCAGCGCCGCCGCGGGGGGGAGGACGGCCUUCGGGUUGUAAACCCCUUUCCAAAUCGACGAAGCCUUUUGGUGACGGGAGGUUGAGAAGAAGCACCGGCUAACUACGU
rnacentral:rRNA from 1 species